UGUUGACCUAAUAAUACUAAUCAUUAUCUGUGCAAUUAAUCUUAAAGGUGUCUUAUAAAAAAAAUAAAAAAAUAUUUUUUAAACUAUCCCAAUUCGAUACUUCGAUACUCGAUCAUGACCAAUAAACCUAUUCAAUAAAAUAGGACGUUUCCUGCACCAAUUCAACCAGUUAUACACGAAAAUAAUAGUUUGGGUGAAAUUGAGAAGGAGCCGAACUAGUGGAUUUAGUAGAAGAACUAAUGUCUUGAGAAAUCAACAGUCCUAUACUGUAACUUCGGAAUUUAAAGUUGUUAUUGUGUCAAAGACAGGAAUUCAACGGUCAUGGGAAGCUUUGCGGGACAAAUAUACUAAAUUGAAAAAGAAAGUCUAAGCAGGAAUCGGGAGAAAAAUGCGUCGAAGAACAAGCAAUUAGACUUAGCAACAAUUACGAUAGUGACUAAUUGUUCACAACUGAGUGUAUAAUAAUUGAACAUCGAAACACCAGAAUAUAAUUCUGGUAGCCGAAGAACAUGUAGUAGAAGUGGAGUCCUGCUUAUCUAAGAAUAAAAACUGGCAAAAAAUUAACAAAACUUAAGAGUUUGAGAGAUCACACAAAUUCUAAGAAAAUUCUAAGUUGUGCCGAGAAUGGAGUGAUGUGUUGAUAUGUGUUGAUAAUUGGCUAAAUGUGUGGAGUACAAAAAAAUCCCAAAAAAUCUUCCAUUUGGUUUAGCAUCAACUUAGCCUAACUCGCACACGUACUAUAUGUUUUAACCUCGCAAUACUAGAAGCUAGUAGUAAAACUCGGCGUUUAAUUUAUUUUUUUGAUAGAGUUAAUAUUUGUCCACCAGAAGUGAAAACCCUCUCAACAGGACUGAAUAAUGGCAGAAUAGCGUAAUAUUUCAUAAUAUCAUGUUUAAAAUAUAUGGGUAGUUAAAUACUGAUGAUAAGUAUUAUGAUACUUCUUAGCAAAAUAAACAGUACUUCUGUUUUGUACUUCUUGAAACAAAAUUCUCUCAAAAUUUGAACCAACGGUAAUAUGUUUACAAACUAAUUCCAUUUGGAGAAACGGUGUUAUGGCAUGAUCAAUUCCAAUAAACAGCAGAAUGUUAGCUUUAAGAUUAAAAUGUAAGUAAUUUGAUAUUAUUAAUAAAGAACCUCUCAACAAGUACGAGUACAUUUCUUAUGUAGAUACAAGAUACGAGAAAUAAAAUGUAUCUGAGUAAGGUGCAAGGUACAGCUAUA